AAUUCAUGCAUGGGACACUUCUGAAUUAACUCCUUCAAUCGUUCCCAAGCUUCAUAUAUCUUCUCGUCCUCCAUCUACCGAAAAUAUGUAAUAUCAUUUCUCAACUU
rnacentral:snoRNA from 1 species